rnacentral:tRNA from 1 species
GGUUUAAUAGUCAAUGAUGAUUUUAAAUUGCAAAUUUGAAGGUAAAUAAUUUUUUAAACCU